AGUGAACGCUGGCGGUAGGCCUAACACAUGCAAGUCGAACGGCAGCACAGUAAGCGCUCGCCCUUAAGGGUGGCGACUGACGGAUGGGUAAGGCAUACAUCGCAUUCUUAUUUUUCGUGGGGGAUUUCGUAAGGCCGCUUCCGCUACUACCGCAUACGACGUACGGCUGAAAUCAGGAGUUCUUCGUACCUUUCGUGACUCUUUGAGCUGAUGUCGGAUUAGCUAGUUGGUUGGGUAAAGGCACACCAAGGCGACGAUCCGUAGCUGGUCUGAGAGGAUGAUCAGCCACACUGGAACUGAGACACGGUCCAGACUCCUACGGGAGGCAGCAGUGGGGAAUAUUGCGCAAUGGGCGCAAGCCUGAUCCAGCCAUGCCGCGUGAGUGAAGAAGGCCUUCGGGUUGUAAAGCCCUUUUGUUGGGAAAGAAAAGCAGCAUGUUAAUACCCCGCUGUUCUGACGGUACCCAAAGAGUAAGCACCGGCUAACUUCGUG
rnacentral:rRNA from 1 species